rnacentral:tRNA from 1 species
GCCUGGGUAGCACAACGGUCAGUGCUCCGGCCCGUCAAGCCGGGAGGUGCCGGUUCGAAUCCGGUCUCAGGCGCC